AGUGAACGCUGGCGGUAGGCCUAACACAUGCAAGUCGAACGGCAGCACAGUAAGAGCUUGCUCUUACUGGUGGCGAGUGGCGGACGGGUGAGGAAUACAUCGGAAUCUACUUUUUCGUGGGGGAUAACGUAGGGAAACUUACGCUAAUACCGCAUACGACCUACGGGUGAAAGCAGGGGAUCUUCGGACCUUGCGCGAUUGAAUGAGCCGGUGUCGGAUUAGCUAGUUGGCGGGGUAAAGGCCCACCAAGGCGACGAUCCGUAGCUGGUCUGAGAGGAUGAUCAGCACCCCUGGACCGGAACCACGGUCCAGACUCCAACGGGAGGAAGCAGUGGGGAAUAUUGGACAAUGGGAGCAAGCCUGAUCCAGCCCUACCGCGUGGGUGAAGAAGGCAUUCGGGUUGUAAAGCCAUUCUGUUGGGAAAGAAAAGCAGCAGGUUAAUACCCCGCUGUUCUGACGGUACCCAAAGAAUAAGCACCGGCUAACUUCGUG
rnacentral:rRNA from 1 species